rnacentral:rRNA from 1 species
AGAGUUUGAUCCUGGCUCAGAUUGAACGCUGGCGGCAGGCCUAACACAUGCAAGUCGAGCGGAAACGACACUAACAAUCCUUCGGGUGCGUUAAUGGGCGUCGAGCGGCGGACGGGUGGGUAAUGCCUAGGAAAUUGCCUUGAUGUGGGGGAUAACCAUUGGAAACGAUGGCUAAUACCGCAUAAUGCCUACGGGCCAAAGAGGGGGACCUUCGGGCCUCUCGCGUCAAGAUAUGCCUAGGUGGGAUUAGCUAGUUGGUGAGGUAAUGGCUCACCAAGGCGACGAUCCCUAGCUGGUCUGAGAGGAUGAUCAGCCACACUGGAACUGAGACACGGUCCAGACUCCUACGGGGGGCAGCAGUGGGGAAUAUUGCACAAUGGGCGAAAGCCUGAUGCAGCCAUGCCGCGUGUAUGAAGAAGGCCUUCGGGUUGUAAAGUACUUUCAGUCGUGAGGAAGGGUGUGUAGUUAAUAGCUGCAUAUCUUGACGUUAGCAACAGAAGAAGCACCGGCUAACUCCGUGCCAGCAGCCGCGGUAAU